rnacentral:lncRNA from 1 species
UAGCAAAAAACAUAUAACAUGCAUUAAAUGCUCAUACAUAUACUACACAUAAACUCUAGAAAAAAAAUAACAUUUAUUUCCAAAAUAAAAACAUAUAUAUUUAAACAUAACAAUAUGUUUCUAAAGCUCUAUUUAAAUGAAAUUUUUAACAAAUCACAUUUAUUUAUGCUUCACAAUUACAGUGCUCUUUCGUUAAUCAAACAAAUAAAGGGAAAUAAUUCAGAUAUUUCCUACAGUAACAUGCACAUGUAUAUAGAAAUAUUUCUCCUAAUUUGAUUUCCUUGGUCUGGUCAAUAUUUAUCUACUGGUCCCGUUAUGCUUGACAUAAAAAGAUCCUUACAUAAUUCUUUCAUUUUUAUGCAAUUUGAUUUAAUUCCAAUUGACUUUUUUUUACAGUGGAAUCAUGCAUGUUUAAAAACAUUUCAUGACAAAAUUUUAAUAAAUCUAUUUAAUUCAUAAACUGUAUUUAUUAGAUAUUUAGACCAAAAAAGUCCAUUUUACAAAAAAAAAAAAGAAAUUGCAAUAAAAGUUGUUUUGAUAAUUGUUUAUAUUGAUAAAGGGGAAAAACAUGAGAGAUUCAAAAAUAUUAUCAGAGGAACCAGAAAAAUAGUUGUACAGAGACUUGACACAUAAGUCCAAACAUCCUUUCAACAAGGUAAGGUAUACAUAAUAAGGGUAUAAAAAUAUAUCUGAAAAUAACUUUCUUGUAAUAAUCAUCCAUGAAAUAACUUCAUACAAUACAGAAUUUUAUGGGGUGUGUGUGCAAGUACAGAAACAUGUUUACUGGUGUGUGUUUGUGUUUGCAUAAGUAUUGAAACAUGUUUUCAGUUUUAUGUUUGUGUGAGCAUAUACAAAAGUAUUGAAACAUAUUUUAUGGUGUGUGUGCGUGUGUGUGUGUGUGUAUGCAAGUACUGAAACAUGUUAUCUUGCAAACUAUUCUCAAAACACUGAAAGCAACAGAACCUUUCUGUCUACAGAAAAAGAUAUAUAAUAAAAAAGAUUUAAUUUGUAUACAUUGCAUAUCAUUUUGUAUUGUAAAGUAAUCUGUUAAAAUUACUAAAUCUCCUAAAUUUCCUCAAAGCACCUCUUAUCCAUUUCAACUAUUUGUACAACAUAUUUGUUUACCAGGGACUUUGUUUAAGAUAUUUUUCUUCUUCUGCUGAUAAUUUUUUAAAUAAAAAUUAUUAUUAUAAAAUUUCAGUAUGAAGCAAUGAUUAUCCUGAGCACAUGCAAACCAAAUGCAUUGUAAUCAGACCUGCACAUCUAAACCAGUAAAUGAUUGACAUUUACAGUAAUUUACACAGAUUGCAGAUCCUCAUCUUAAUGUUCUUUCAUCAGCAUUUUCAUUUUGGAUAACAAGAUUUCAUCAUGCUAUAAAAUUAUUAAAAUAAGACAAAAUGAUAUAUUUGGUUCUGAAAAUAUUGCUAAAAAGACGAUUUGUCAGUGAGAAUUGUAUUUACAGAUUCUGUUUUAUAAUGUAUCAUGAUGUAAACAAACUGGUUUUAAAUAUAUAUCUAUGGUAUUUCAUUUUUAUCUAAAAUAUUAGCAACCAAAAAUAGUGCAAGUUCAAAGGGCUUUGUUUAGAAUCCAUUUUUUUUAUAUAUUCCUCUGCUUUUGUUUAAUGUGCUUAAGGGUUUUGUUUCAUGCAUCUUAAAAAACCUAUCUCCCUCCUUUCAUCAUAUAUGACAAACAAAAUGUUAAAGUUACUUAUAAAUAUAUCAUCUACAACAACAUAUGCAAAAUGAUAAUGUGAAGGAAUCAAAAUUAUUGUGGAUCCCCAGCCUGACCUGCAGCGGUAAAAUUAUGAAACUUAUAUAUGUACAGAUUUUGCAAACUCACUAUAGCAGUUUUAGUUUAAUUUGUUUAAAUCCCAAAAAUUAAAAUCAUUAGAAAUAUAACUGUGUCUUUUGUAAAAUCACAGCAGCUUAUUUGAUGUUUAUAACCAUAUGUAAAAAUUCAUUUUUCUUCAGAUUUAGAAAAAGAUAUUUGAACAAUUACUUCUUUUUUGUAGACAUUUCUGGUAAACUAUUGAAUAGUGAUUAUGGAUAUGGAUAAUAUGCAUAUUCACAUAUACAAAGAUUAACAAUUACUGUACUUCAUUUUGCAUGGUGUCUACUGUUACAAUAUUUUCCAACAUAUUUUAUUCACAGGUACUUUUUCCAUGUUUUUUGAAAGAAUAUAUUUGUGCCUACAUGCCAUUUAUAAUUUGGAUUUCAAAUAUUUUGGCCACGAGCAUCACUGAAGAGACAUGUAUUGUCGAAAUGCGCAUCUGGUGCAAGAAAAUUGGUACCGUUAAUUUUAUUAUAUAAUUCAGAUGGAUGCAUGAUUAUGAUAAGAAUUCAGAGCAUAAUAAGGAAAGAAUUCAAAAGUCUGGUCAAUACCUCCCAAUGGGAAAAUUCCCCUAAAUUAGGAAAAAAAAGGCCAAAAUAAAUCAGGAAAAUUGUCAGGUCUGCAGCAAUGAUAAUUAAUUUACUGUUGUAAAUGACAUGGAAAUAAUACAUAGUUUGCUCUUGUACUUGAUAUUAAGGGGGAGACAACUAAUAAUAUGUUUAUUGCACAUUAGAUAAAAUCAUGUUUCACUUGUGUGAAAAAAAAAUCUUCUCAAUUGUAUAAAAGUUUUAAUUCUUAAACAUAAAUGAAUGUUAUUUUAUCAGAAAUUUCUGAGAAAAAUGAAGUAAAUUGUCUGAACUCAUUGAAAAAACACAAUUUAGUAAUAAAUGAUUUUAUAAUCUGCUAUAAGCAUCACUGAAAUCUUGUAAAAUAUAACAAACAUAUUUACAACAUGAACAUAUGUGUGAAUUUAUGCAUGCUGUAGUUUUGAGACAUUAAAAAAAUUAAUUACCAUGCCUGCAUGGCUAUAAAUAUCAUCCAAUUGCAUUUUACUAUUAUACAAAUAAAAAAAACUACAAAAAUCUAUUUCUUAUGAACUAACUACAUAAAAGCACCUUUGAUUUGCAAUUAUAUAUAUACUGGUACUAUAACUCCAAUGUAGUUCUAGAUUGGUGGAAAUAAAUUUUGUUUAAGGGACAUAACUCUGGAAAAUCAUUGAAAUGUUUGUGUCAACCUAUGCAUUUAUUCAUUUCUAAGCUUCGAUGCAAGAAAGAUUAUCAUCAUUCUACGUUAUGCCAAUGCUUAUAAAACAGUAAUGAAACUGACCAUAACAAAUACAUUACUGAUUAAAAGAGUUACAUGACCUCAACCAGAUUUAUUCCUUGAAAGCAAAGUCAUGCUGACAUAUUACAAUUCUAUUCAUUUAACUCUAAAUUAUGGUCCCUAUUGGAAUAGCUCCAAUCAGUCAUCAUGGAAUGCAACAUGUAAUGUGCUCUACUGAUACUAGAUUUAAAUAAAUUACAGAUGAUUUGCUAAGCAAUACAGCAGCAAAAAGUUAGCACUAAGUAGAAAAUUUUACAACAGAUUUUCUACAUACAAAAACAACAUAAUUCCAUCAAAUGAGCAAAAAUAUAUCAGACGGUUUAAACUUUGAUGUAACUUUUCAAUGGUUAAAUUAUAUAUUUGGCUACAGCUGCCAUAGACAGUUCAUAAUCAGUCCUGUUCUUCAACUGUUAUAGUGUUAUACAUACAAGUCAUAUCUGGACAUUGUGAUAACAAAAACCAGUCACCAUGAAAAUGUCUUGUCUUAUAAUAUAAAUGGGCUGUGAGUUUGAAAACUAUAGCUCUUAAUGAAAUUUUUAAGUCUUAAAGCGGUUUUUACUAUUAAAUUCUAAUAAUAACAUUAUUACUUUGCCAUGAAAAGAACUUUUUUUUUUUUAAUUAUAUGUGAUUUUUUUUUAAAUAUCAAAGUCAAAUUGUGUACCUUUUUUUUUAAAUAAAAAAUAUGUUCAUGCUUAUACAAUUUAAAAUAAAUUUAAUGAAAGAUUUUUUCAUUUAACAACGUUUAACAAUAAAACGGGGAUAAAAAUACAAAAAUGGCAUUUAUAAGCCAUUCAAAUUCCUCAAAUAAUAUGAAGAUAUCAUAAAUGAAUCUAUUAUGAAACAAUAAACUAUACAAUUGUACAAAAUAUUGAACAAUUAAAAAUAUAUAAAAAUAACAUAUCUUUAUGGCAAACCAGUAUUUAGGGCUAGUAUAAAUGGCAAAGAGUGCAUAAGGCUAACAUAGCACUUUUCCUAUAAUAAUUGUAUUAUAAUACUGAAAGAGCUAGCGCUUCUACAAAUAUAUUCUAUCAAUAAAUAUUUUUACAAGAUGUAUUCCUCUAAACAAAAUUUUAAUUUACUAUAAUUUUACUAACCACUACAUAGAAAUUGGGAAAUAAAACAAAAAGUAACCCUGUGCAUUGACCAAUGGAACAUUUUUUCAUGGAAUUGUUCUAAAAAUUCCUGCAAUAUCUGACCAAUAACAGUGAAAUAUCAAGUCAAUUCAGGUCAUGAUUUUAUCAAAGGAAAUUAUAUAUUCUUAAUUGACUACGAGUUUCAUACAGAGUCCUCAAAAUGUAUAUCAAGUUAUUUUGGUCAUCCAAGAAAAAACAAUACAAAAAUCCCAACAUUUUCGACAUAAUACGAA